GCCGAUGUAGCUCAGCUGAUAGAGCAGUCCCUUCGUAAGGGAAAGGUCGUGGGUUUGAAUCCCUCCAUCGGCU
rnacentral:tRNA from 1 species